GAUGAACGCUGGCGGCGUGCCUAAUACAUGCAAGUAGAACGCUGAAGGAGGAGCUUGCUCUUCUGGAUGAGUUGCGAACGGGUGAGUAACGCGUAGGUAACCUGCCUGGUAGCGGGGGAUAACUAUUGGAAACGAUAGCUAAUACCGCAUGACAACAGUUAUUGCAUGAUAACUGUUUAAAAGGGGCAACUGCUCCACUACCAGAUGGACCUGCGUUGUAUUAGCUAGUUGGUGAGGUAACGGCUCACCAAGGCGACGAUACAUAGCCGACCUGAGAGGGUGAUCGGCCACACUGGGACUGAGACACGGCCCAGACUCCUACGCGAGGCAGCAGUAGGGAAUCUUCGGCAAUGGACGGAAGUCUGACCGAGCAACGCCGCGUGAGUGAAGAAGGUUUUCGGAUCGUAAAGCUCUGUUGUAAGAGAAGAACGAGUGUGAGAGUGGAAAGUUCACACUGUGACGGUAUCUUACCAGAAAGGGACGGCUAACUACGUG
rnacentral:rRNA from 1 species